UACGGAGGGGACUAGCGUUGUUCGGAAUUACUGGGCGUAAAGCGCGCGUAGGCGGAUUUGCAAGUCGGGGGUGAAAGCCCGAGGCUCAACCUCGGAACUGCCCUCGAUACUGCAAAUCUCGAGUCCGAGAGAGGUGAGUGGAAUUCCUAGUGUAGAGGUGAAAUUCGUAGAUAUUAGGAAGAACACCAGUGGCGAAGGCGGCUCGCUGGCUCGGUACUGACGCUGAGGCGCGAAAGCGUGGGGAGCAAACAGG
rnacentral:rRNA from 1 species